ensembl:snRNA U2 U2 spliceosomal RNA
AUCACUUCUCGGCCUUUUGGCUAAGAUCAAGUGUAGUAUCUGUUCUUAUCAGUUUAAUUUUCUCUGUAUCACCAGUUUACAAUAAUAUUAUUAUAAUGUGCUGUAUGGUUUUUCUAAGUAGUUAUCCUGCUAGGGGUUCAUUAGGUUUCUUGGAUCUGAAAGAUUCAAAUUAAACUGUGAUGAUUUUUCAGCCAUUUU